rnacentral:rRNA from 1 species
GUCCACGCCGUAAACGUUGGGCACUAGGUGUGGGGCUCUAUCGACGGGUUCCGUGCCGAAGCUAACGCAUUAAGUGCCCCGCCUGGGGAGUACGGCCGGCAAGGCUAAAACUCAAAGGAAUUGACGGGGGCCCGCACAAGCGGCGGAGCAUGUGGCUUAAUUCGAUGCAACGCGAAGAACCUUACCAAGGCUUGACAUGCUGGGUAAUCCGUGGAAACACGGUGAUCCUUCGGGAUCCAGCGCAGGUGGUGCAUGGCUGUCGU